UUAUGUUCCUUUCUGUCACAAGUACACUAAAAUUGGAAUGAUACAUCAAAGAUCAGCAUGGCCCCUGCAAAGAUAUGAUAUACAAAUGUGUGAAGCAGUUUAAUUUUGG